rnacentral:lncRNA from 1 species
AAUUCGUAAUGUUUAUUUUUAAAAAAUACAUAUAUUUACACAAGGGUCGUUUGAAAAGCCCAUUCAAAGUCUUAAAAAUGGCAUUACAGGCGUAUAUCGAGGUUUUGCUUAGUUAGUAACAUCUCUUGGAAGAACACACACCUACUUUCAGCCAGAUCUCUCUAUUUCUUUCGGUUUGGCAUCCGUUUGAAAGUGAUUUUGAAAGAAUGGAGGAAAAAUAAUUUGGGUUUUGAUCAAACAUUACUUUAUGAAAGGCGAAACGCCUCGGGAGACUAAAAAGAAAUUUCAUAAACAGUAUGGAGAAUAUGCACCUUCGAUUAGAACAGUUUAUAAGGGUCUUCAACUUUUUUGGAGUGGCCAUUUAAGCACAAGUGAGGCUGAACGUUCUGGACGCCCUGUUAGGUUACUACUCCAGAAAUCAUUGAUAAAAUCCAUGAUACGGUGAUGGAUGACAGAAAAGUGAAGGUGCAUGAAAUUGCUAGUACAAUAGGCAUCUCUAGUUGGAAUCCUAUUUCCAUUAAUUUGGUGAUCACACCAGCUGAGAUGUGGGCUGAGGCAUUGUCGUGAUGGAAAAGGAUUUUUUUUUGAGGAAAUCUUGCCUUUUUUCUUGGUGCUCGUUUUUCAAACGGUCCAAUAACGAUAAAUAAUAUGCUCUUGUAAUAGUUUCACCAUUGACCAGAUGGUCGAAGAGAUUCCUUGUGAAUCUAAAAGCCAGUCGUCAUAAUCUUUCCCGCCGAUUCCUCGAUUCAAACGAACGCCAAACAGAAAGAAAUAGAGCGAUCUGGUUUAAAGUAGGUAUGUGUUCUUCCAAAAGAUAUUACUGAAUAAAUAUAACCUCGAUAUCCACCAGGAGGGUUACCUUGGAUUUUGCACAGACCUUUUCAAACAACCAACGUAUAUAUAUACGACGAUGGAUCAUCAAGAAAUUGUAUUCCAAAACACUAACAAGUGAAACAAUACGACAGAUUACAACACAUACAAAGUAAAUUUUAGUGUUCGUGAGAUAAUGCCAAGUCAGAGGAACAUUUGGGCAAACAAAAAGGCAUUCAAACCAUUUUGACUGCACAAAUACGGGGAUGCUAUAAAUCAGAAAGAGCCCACCGAGAAAACAGCCGUGUUUAUGCGUAUCUCAAAAAGUGAAUCGUACUUCAAGAAGCCUCAACAAUCCAAAUUUUCAAAAUGAAGAGAAAAAGAGGAUUGCUACACGUCGUUACCUUUAUUGUAUCAUGCAUCCUUUCCUUCAAAAAUAAACAAGAAAUCAGACCAAAAUCUGCUUCUAGUGGGUCAAUUCUUCCGUAAUAUGUACGUGUUAUUAUUUUAUUUAUUUUUUUCACCAAUAU